AGAAGUUUAGGUUAUUUAGACCAGGAGCCUUCAAAGCCCCAAGAAGGUGAAAAAUCACUUAACUUCUG
rnacentral:tRNA from 1 species